CAGGCACGGGUUCAAGCAAUAGAAAGUCUUUAUUAGCAGGCCAGUGACUACACUGGGUGUUUAGGACCCGAGUGCAGUUCAGAGUCUUUCUCAGAGUGGGCUUUUAAGCAUAAAAACCAUAUCCUGAGAUGACACACCCUGUUAUAAAGAACAGUUAUCCAGAAGUGGAACUACAGAAGCCAAAAAACAAGAUUAGUACAUUCAGGGACUUCCCCAGAACUGUGGACUUGGAUGGAUUAGGUCUUUGUUCUCUUUUUGGCAAGUGGUGCUGCCUACAUGUUGGGUUCCAAGGCCUGAAUGGUACCUCCAUCACGCCAUCAGUUGUGCUAAGGUCUGGGGGCCUGUUACAUGACAGACACCAUUUUCCCAUGAAGCUGGAGUCUGAGAAGUGCAGGACCACCAGCAGGCUCAGUACCUGCCAAGGGCUGCUGUGUUGCUAAGAUGACCCCGUGUUGCUGCUUCCUCUAGAAGGGGCCAUUAUGGGAUGGAAGAGAAUGAAGGCUUGUCUUUGGACCAUGAGAAGAUUUAGUCCUCCGUGACUCUGAUGAUGACCCCACCCUCACCCCUAAGCCUAAUGCUAUGAUCCCAGCAUUGCAACUGGAAUCUCAAGAAUCUCAAGAAGGAGCCUUCUCUAAAGAUCUGCCCAAAGAUAACUCUCUGUAAAGGAGCAUGGUCUUAGCAACAUCCCUCUUCGGCAUCUCGCCCAUGAGAGAAGAUGAACUCACAGAAGAAGGCCAAUACCACAUUGUUACAGGCUACGACACGCUCAUCUGAGGGCUUCUCUGA